rnacentral:rRNA from 1 species
GGACUACCAGGGUUUCUAAUCCCGUUCGCUCCCCUGGCUUUCGCACCUCAGCGUCAGUCGCCUCCCAGGACACUGCCUUCGCCUUUGGUAUUCCUCCGGAUCUCUACGCAUUUCACCACUCCACCCGGAAUUCUAUGUCCCUCUGAGGCCCUCAAGAGUGAGCGUCUUCCCGGCACUCCCCUCGGUAAGCGAGGAGCUGGCACCGGAAACGCCUCACCCCACCUGCGUGCCCUUUACGCCCAGUAACUCCGGACAACGCUUGCCCCCUACGUAUUACCGCGGCUGCUGGCAC